GCCUGAGAAACGGCUACCACAUCCAAGGAAGGCAGCAGGCACGCAAAUUACCCAAUCUCAGCUCUGGGAGGUAGUGACGAAAAAUAACAAUGCGGGACUCUUCCGAGUUUACGUAAUUGGAAUGAGCACACUUUAAAUCCUUUAGCAACAACCAAUUGGAGGGCAAGUCUGGUGCCAGCAGCCGCGGUAAUUCCAGCUCCAAUAGCGUAUAUUAAAGUUGUUGCGUUUAAAAAGCUCGUAGUUCGAGUUCAGUUCCGGACUGGCCGGGGAGGUCACCGCCCGGUGCUUCCCCGUCAGGCUCCGAACAGCUUUCAUGACUGAAAGCCAAGCCGGUUUCGCCGGGGUGCUCUUCACCGAGUGUCCCGCGCGGCCGGCCAGUUUACCUUGAAUAAAUCAGAGUGCUCAAAGCAGGCUACUCUUAAAAAUAAAGCCCGAAUGUUACCUGCAUGGAAUGAUGGAAGAUGAUCUCGGUUCCAUUUUGUCGGUUCUGGGAAUCCGAGUUAAUGAUAAACAGGGACUGUCGGGGGCAUCCGUACUACGACGCGAGAGGUGAAAUUCAGUGACCGUCGUAGGACGAACAACAGCGAAAGCAUUUGCCAAGAAUGUCUUCGUUGAUCAAGAACGAAAGUUAGAGGAUCGAAGGCGAUCAGAUACCGCCCUAGUUCUAACCCUAAACGAUGCUGACUAGCAAUCCGCCGUCGUUAUUCCCAUGACGUGGCGGGACGCCCCCGGGAAACCUCAAGUCUUUGAGUUCCGGGGGUAGUAUGGUUGCAAAACUGAAACUUAAAGGAAUUGACGGAAGGGCACCACCAGGAGUGGAGCCUGCGGCUUAAUUUGACUCAACACGGGGAACCUCACCAGGCCCGGACACCAGAAGGAUUGACAGAUUAAGAGCUCUUUCUCGAUUUGGUGGGUGGUGGUGCAUGGCCGUUCUUAGUUGGUGGAGUGAUUUGUCUGGUUAAUUCCGGUAACGAACGAGACUCUGGCCUAUUAAAUAGUCGACGUGGGUUUUGGUGCAUGGGCCCCGUUCGAUAAUGUCUUCUUAGAGGGAUGAGCAGCGAGUAUAGCUGCAGGAGAUUGAGCAAUAACAGGUCUGUGAUGCCCUUAGAUGUCCUGGGCCGCACGCGCGCUACACUGAAUGGAUUAGCGGGUUCUCCUUCUCCGAGAGGAGCGGGAAAUCGCGUGAAAACCAUUCGUGAUAGGGAUUGGGGCUUGCAAUUGUUUCCCAUGAACGAGGAAUUCCCAGUAAGCGCAAGUCAUCAGCUUGCGUUGAUUAAGUCCCUGCCCUUUGUACACACCGCCCGUCGCUACUACCGAUUGAAUGAUUUAGUGAGGCCUUCGGACUGGCGGUCUUGGACUGGGCUCCGCUCGCUACUACUCCAGCAAUGGGGGGCGGCGGACUCGCCAUGACGUGCCGGAAAGAUGUCCAAACUUGAUCAUUUAGAGGAAGUAAAAGUCGUAACAAGGUUUCC
rnacentral:rRNA from 1 species